rnacentral:lncRNA from 1 species
GUUGAAGUACGAUUGGAUAUCUUAGAAUAUGAAUAAGCAUGAAUUGAAUAAAAGAACAAUAGUACUUUGCAUUAAUACUUGAGGUACAGCAGAGCUCCACAUCUUAAUCUAUGGUGUGUAGAAAUUCCACCGUUGAAAAUACAUAAGAACUGGAGGUCCAGGCAUGGCCGAAUGGCCAGCCUCCCCAAAUAUGAAAUAUGGUAUCCAGAAUGUCUAAUACAAUAGUAAUAAGUCCUAUUUAUACUAAACUAGCUACUAGGGUUUACAGAAAUAAGUCUAAGUGCAGAAAUCCACUUCCGUGGCCCACUUUGGUGUGUGCUUGGACUAAGCUUGAGCUUUCCAUGUGCAAAGGCUUCUCUUGGAGUUAAACGCCAAGUUGUAACGUGUUUUUGGCGUUUAAACCAGUGUUUCUGGCGUUUUACUCCAGAAUACAGCUUGGAGCUGGCAUUGAACGCCAGUUUGCAUUGUCUAAACUCGAAUAAAGUAUGAACUAUUAUAUAUUUCUGGAAAGCCCUGGAUGUCUACUUUCCAACGCAAUUGAUAGCGCGCCAUUUGGAGUUCUGUAGCUCCAGAAAAUCCAUUUCGAGUGCAGGGAGGUCAGAAUCCAACAGCAUCUGCAGUUCUUUUUCAGCUUGAAUCAGAUUUUUGCUCAGAUCCCUCAAUUUCAGCCAAAAUUUACCUAAAAUCACAAAAAAAUACACAAACUCAUAGUAAAGUCCAGAAAUGUGAAUUUUUCAUAAAAACUAAUAAAAAUAUCCCUAAAAGUAGCUAGAUCCUACUAAAAACUACCUAAAAACAAUGCCAAAAAGCGUAUAAAUUAUCCGCUCAUCAAUACACGACGUUCAAUUUCAAAAAUUAAGUUACUUAAUGCAAAGUCAGAAACUAAUUUGGUACUUUUACAAUAAUGACAUAAUAGAUAACAUGUGAAAGAAUAAUGUUGCGAUACGUGGCACAAACGGACACAUAGCACACUCAUUACACGUGGCCAAACCAUAAAGUAACUCAUGUCACUAAUGAUUCAGGUCAUCAAGUCACAUCAGCAUCCAGUUAACAGAAAAUGGGUCAGAGACUAAC